rnacentral:rRNA from 1 species
UCAUCUCCGGGGGUAGAGCACUGUUUCGGCAAGGGGGUCAUCCCGACUUACCAACCCGAUGCAAACUGCGAAUACCGGAGAAUGUUAUCACGGGAGACACACGGCGGGUGCUAACGUCCGUCGUGAAGAGGGAAACAACCCAGACCGCCAGCUAAGGUCCCAAAGUCAUGGUUAAGUGGGAAACGAUGUGGGAAGGCCCAGACAGCCAGGAUGUUGGCUUAGAAGCAGCCAUCAUUUAAAGAAAGCGUAAUAGCUCACUGGUCGAGUCGGCCUGCGCGGAAGAUGUAACGGGGCUAAACCAUGCACCGAAGCUGCGGCAGCGACGCUGAUGCGUUGUUGGGUAGGGGAGCGUUCUGUAAGCCUGCGAAGGUGUGCUGUGAGGCAUGCUGGAGGUAUCAGAAGUGCGAAUGCUGACAUAAGUAACGAUAAAGCGGGUGAAAAGCCCGCUCGCCGGAAGACCAAGGGUUCCUGUCCAACGUUAAUCGGGGCAGGGUGAGUCGACCCCUAAGGCGAGGCCGAAAGGCGUAGUCGAUGGGAAACAGGUUAAUAUUCCUGUACUUGGUGUUACUGCGAAGGGGGGACGGAGAAGGCUAUGUUGGCCGGGCGACGGUUGUCCCGGUUUAAGCGUGUAGGCUGGUUUUCCAGGCAAAUCCGGAAAAUCAAGGCUGAGGCGUGAUGACGAGGCACUACGGUGCUGAAGCAACAAAUGCCCUGCUUCCAGGAAAAGCCUCUAAGCAUCAGGUAACAUCAAAUCGUACCCCAAACCGACACAGGUGGUCAGGUAGAGAAUACCAAGGCGCUUGAGAGAACUCGGGUGAAGGAACUAGGCAAAAUGGUGCCGUAACUUCGGGAGAAGGCACGCUGAUAUGUAGGUGAAGUCCCUCGCGGAUGGAGCUGAAAUCAGUCGAAGAUACCAGCUGGCUGCAACUGUUUAUUAAAAACACAGCACUGUGCAAACACGAAAGUGGACGUAUACGGUGUGACGCCUGCCCGGUGCCGGAAGGUUAAUUGAUGGGGUCAGCGCAAGCGAAGCUCUUGAUCGAAGCCCCGGUAAACGGCGGCCGUAACUAUAACGGUCCUAAGGUAGCGAAAUUCCUUGUCGGGUAAGUUCCGACCUGCACGAAUGGCGUAAUGAUGGCCAGGCUGUCUCCACCCGAGACUCAGUGAAAUUGAACUCGCUGUGAAGAUGCAGUGUACCCGCGGCAAGACGGAAAGACCCCGUGAACCUUUACUAUAGCUUGACACUGAACAUUGAGCCUUGAUGUGUAGGAUAGGUGGGAGGCUUUGAAGUGUGGACGCCAGUCUGCAUGGAGCCGACCUUGAAAUACCACCCUUUAAUGUUUGAUGUUCUAACGUUGACCCGUGAUCCGGGUUGCGGACAGUGUCUGGUGGGUAGUUUGACUGGGGCGGUCUCCUCCUAAAGAGUAACGGAGGAGCACGAAGGUUGGCUAAUCCUGGUCGGACAUCAGGAGGUUAGUGCAAUGGCAUAAGCCAGCUUGACUGCGAGCGUGACGGCGCGAGCAGGUGCGAAAGCAGGUCAUAGUGAUCCGGUGGUUCUGAAUGGAAGGGCCAUCGCUCAACGGAUAAAAGGUACUCCGGGGAUAACAGGCUGAUACCGCCCAAGAGUUCAUAUCGACGGCGGUGUUUGGCACCUCGAUGUCGGCUCAUCACAUCCUGGGGCUGAAGUAGGUCCCAAGGGUAUGGCUGUUCGCCAUUUAAAGUGGUACGCGAGCUGGGUUUAGAACGUCGUGAGACAGUUCGGUCCCUAUCUGCCGUGGGCGCUGGAGAACUGAGGGGGGCUGCUCCUAGUACGAGAGGACCGGAGUGGACGCAUCACUGGUGUUCGGGUUGUCAUGCCAAUGGCACUGCCCGGUAGCUAAAUGCGGAAGAGAUAAGUGCUGAAAGCAUCUAAGCACGAAACUUGCCCCGAGAUGAGUUCUCCCUGACCCUUUAAGGGUCCUGAAGGAACGUUGAAGACGACGACGUUGAUAGGCCGGGUGUGUAAGCGCAGCGAUGCGUUGAGCUAACCGGUACUAAUGAACCGUGAGGCUUAACCUU